UGCCGGGUCGUCUAAAGGUAGGACGCGAGGUUUUGGUCCUCGCUAUCGGGGUUCGAAUCCCUGCCCGGCAG
rnacentral:tRNA from 1 species